rnacentral:rRNA from 1 species
AACGAACGCUGGCGGCGCGUUUUAAGCAUGCAAGUCGCACGGUAGACGGGUUUCGGCCUGUUGAGAGUGGCGAACGGGUGAGUAACACGUAGGUGAUGUACCCUGAAGUUGGGGAUAGCUCAUGGAAACAUGGGGUAAUACCGAAUAAUCCGGCAGUUUCUGUACUGUCGGGAAAGGGGCUUUCGGGCCUCGCUUUUGGAUCAGCCUGCGGCUUAUUAGCUUGUUGGUGAGGUAAAGGCUCACCAAGGCGACGAUAAGUAGCCGGCCUGAGAGGGUGACCGGCCACAUUGGGACUGAGAUACGGCCCAGACUCCUACGGGAGGCAGCAGCUAAGAAUCUUCCGCAAUGGGCGCAAGCCUGACGGAGCGACGCCGCGUGCACGAUGAAGGCAGAGAUGUUGUAAAGUGCUUUUAUGGGUGAGGAAUAACAGAGGCAGGAAAUGGUCUUUGGAUGACGUGAACCCAUGAAUAAGCUCCGGCUAAUUACGUGCCAGCCGCCGCGGUAAC